CGGGGCGUGGCGCAGUCUGGUGAGCGCACUAGCAUGGGGAGCUAGGGGUCGGCGGUUCAAAUCCGCCCGUCCCGACCA
rnacentral:tRNA from 2 species